rnacentral:rRNA from 1 species
GUUUGGUGCCAGCAGCCGCGGUAAUUCCAGCUCCAAUAGCGUAUAUUAAAGUUGUUGCAGUUAAAAAGCUCGUAGUUGAAUUUCGGGAUCAGCACGUUGGUCGUGCCUCUGGUAUGUACUGGCUUUGCUGGUUCCUCCCUCCUGAAGAACCGUAAUGCCAUUAAUUUGGUGUGGCGGGGAAACAGGACUGUUCCUUUGAAAAAAUUAAAGUGUUUAAAGC